rnacentral:rRNA from 1 species
GAUGAACGCUGGCGGCGUGCCUAAUACAUGCAAGUCGAGCGAACAGACGAGGCGCUUGCUCCUUCGACGUUAGCGGCGGACGGGUGUGUAACACGUAGGUAACCUACCUAUAAGACUGGGAUAACUUCGGGAAACCGGAGCUAAUACCGGAUAAUAUUUCGAACCGCAUGGUUCGAUAGUGAAAGAUGGCUUUGCUAUAACUUAUAGAUGGACCUGCGCCGUAUUAGCUAGUUGGUAAGGUAACGGCUUAUCAAGGCAACGAUACGUAGCCGACCUGAGAGGGUGAUCGGCCACACUGGAGCUGAGACACGGUCCAGACUCCUACGGGAGGCAGCAGUAGGGUAUCUUCCGCAAUGGGCGAAAGCCUUGCGGAGCAACGCCGCGUGAGUGAUGAAGGUCUUCGGAUCGUAAAACUCUGUUAUUAGUGAAGAACAAACGUGUAAGUAACUGUGCACUUCUUGACGGUACCUAAUCAGAAAGCCACGGCUAACUACGUG